GUCGCGCCUUGCGGAGCGGUUUGCCGAUCUGGCCUUGCAGGCCGCGCUGUUCGGCUCCGGCCCGUUCGGCUCGGGCUCGGGGCU
rnacentral:tRNA from 1 species